GCAAUUAAAGUAUUGGGCUCAUUUUUGUUCGGUCGUAAUGUGACUGAAUGGAAGAGUGCAUUGGCUAAAUUGAGA
rfam:Medicago truncatula strain A17 chromosome 6, whole genome shotgun sequence.